rnacentral:tRNA from 1 species
UCCCCGGUGGCUCAGUAGUAAAGAAUCUGCCUGCAAAGCAGAAGACCUGGGUUCGAGCCCUGGUUGGGAAG